CGGGGAGGCGCAGCAGCGGUCUCCGGGGCGGCGGACAACAGCUCUUCCCUGCCCGCUUCCUCCGGCUACAGUAGUUUCAGCGAUGGCUGCUACGAGAUCGGGCACGGCCUGCACCCGUGCGCGCGCGUCAACGCGACCUUGGCGAGGCGCUACUCGUCGGCCAACUACUCGGGCAGAGGCGCGGUGACCGUGCAGGCGCCCAGCGGCCGGGUGGUGACCGUCCCCAUAGCCGAGUACGAGGCGCUGCGCAACAACUGCAUCAACGGCACCCUGUCCUCGCAGGAGUACCACUUCCGGAAAGACGUUCUACACCUGAGCUCCAGCAUCGACGAGUUAGGCGCCAUCCAGGUGACCGUGGCCGUCGGCAUCGCCUGCUGCUGGUUCCUCGUUUUCCUCAGCGUCAGCAAGGGGCCUCAA
rnacentral:lncRNA from 1 species